rnacentral:lncRNA from 1 species
GGGUCCCUGGCCUGCCUCCUGCUGGCCCUGUGCCUGGGCAGCGGGGAGGCUGGCCCGCUGCAGGGGGGAGGAGGGGGAAGCGUGGGAACGAACGUCGGGGAGGCCAUUGGGCACGGAAUGGGAGAUGCCCUCAGCCAGGGGGUUGGGCAGGCCCUUGGCGAACAGGCCGGAGGGGCACUGGGCUCCGGAGUCAGGGAUGCUGCAGGCCACGGCGCGGCCGAUGCUCUGGGCCACAAGCUCGGGGAGGCAGCCCACACUCUUGGAAACAGCGGGAGCGAGGCUGCCAGGCAGGCCGGGAAUGCCCUUCAACACGGAGCGGAUGCCGUCCAUAGCUCCUGGCAGGGGGUGCCCGGCAGCAGUGGAGCUUGGGGGACAUCUGGAGGCCACGGCAUGGGCAACCCCGGAGGUGCAGGCGCUCCCUGGGGACAUGGGUACCCCGGAGGCCCGGCAGGCAGCUUUGGAAACAAUGUUCAAGGAGGACCCUGGGGUCAAGGAGGCAACGGCAUGUCACCAAACUUUGGGACCAAUGCUCAGGGAGCCGUGGCCCAGCCUGGUUACGACGCAAUGAGAGGCAGCGGCCCGAAUACAGGGUGCACCAACCCCCCGCCGUCCGGCUCCGGAGGAAGCUCCGGCAACUCUGGGGUAAGAGGAGAGGGGCGGCCUGGGCGUUCUGCCCGGGAGGAAGUGGCAGGAGAGGAGGGGGAGGAGGGAAGAAGUCCUGGAGCUCCUGUCUUUGACCCUGGCUCUGGUCCCUCCCUGCCUCUCAGGGAAGCGGCAGCUCACAGUCAGGCAGCAACAGUGGCAGCAGCGGCAACAGUGGCAACAGUGGCAGUGGUGGCAGCAGCAACAGUGGCAACAGUGGCAGUGGCAGUUCUGGGGGCAACUGGGUGAGUUCUGCGCCUCCAGUGCAGGGAGAGACGGGCCGAGGCCCCUGGUGGUCCCCGCCGAGGAGAUG